UAGCAAUACGGCAGCGGCAGACGGGAGAGUAACACGUGGGAACGCGCCCUUCGGUUCGGAAUAACUCAGGGAAACUUGGGCUAAUACCGAAUACGCCCUUACGGGGAAAGAUUUAUUGCCGAAGGAACGGCCCGCGUCCGAUUAGCUUGUUGGUGAGGUAACGGCUCACCAAGGCGACGAUCGGUAGCUGGUCUGAGAGGAUGACCAGCCUCACUGGGACUGAGACACGGCCCAGACUCCUACGGGAGGCAGCAGUGGGGAAUAUUGGACAAUGGGCGCAAGCCUGAUCCAGCCAUGCCGCGUGAGUGAUGAAGGCCUUAGGG
rnacentral:rRNA from 1 species